CUCUGUCAUCAAGGCAGGAUGAACCCUAACUACAUUCGCUGUCCAUCUCUGUCAUCAAGGCAGGAUGAACCCUAACUACAUUCGCUGUCCAUCUCUGUCAUCAGGGCAGGAUGGACCCUAACUACAUCCACCGUCCAUCUCUGUCAUCAGGGCAGGAUGGAUCCCUAACUACAUCCGCCGUCCAUCUCUGUCAUCAGGGCAGGAUGGAUCCUAACUACAUCCACUGUCCAUCUCUGUCAUCAGGGCAGGAUGGAUCCUAACUACAUCCACUGUCCAUCUCUGUCAUCAGGGCAGGAUGGAUCCUAACUACAUCCACUGUCCAUCUCUGUCAUCAGGGCAGGAUGGAUCCUAACUACAUCCACUGUCCAUCUCCGUCAUCAGGGCAGGAUGGACCCUAACUACAUCCACUGUCCAUCUCUGUCAUCAGGGCAGGAUGGUCCCUAACUACAUCCACUGUCCAUCUCUGUCAUCAGGGCAGGAUGGAUCCUAACUCCAUCCACUGUCCAUCUCUGACAGCCAGGAGAGAGGACAGCCAGGAGAGAGGACAGGCAGGAGAGGGGACAGGCAGGAGACAGGACAGGCAGGAGACAGGACAGCCAGGAGACAGGACAGCCAGACCUGCAUACAUAACAUAGAGCUGUUGGGGAUCAAUCAGACGAGAGCCCCUCGGUCAUCCAGUCAUCUAUUUAGGUCCACUCCGUUGAGAGAAUGAUUAGCAGCAUAAAGAAAGGACAGUGUUGAACUUCCAUAGACUCACUGAUAGUACAGUAUCAUGGAGAUGGUGUUAGAGAAGCCGGCGGUAAACCUGUUCCUUUUCUAAAUCAUUUGUUGACAUUAAGUUUAUGACUUAGAGUUGGAGAGAUAGAUGAACGAUCAUAUUCAUUCUGUUCAUUUAUCUUGAACUACUUGUCACUGAAUUGUACUACUAUCUCAUCAAACAUAACCGUCUCAAAUAAAUGGUAAGUAAUAAAUCGGAGGCUGUAUCUUUUAGCACAGUAUUGUGCAUUAUUUGCAUUCCAAUCAACAUUUAUCUUGUCUGUGUCUCUUUUCAAUAAAGUUUGCUGAUUUAUUGUGGAAGCCUGCC
rnacentral:lncRNA from 1 species